rnacentral:rRNA from 1 species
UACGUAGGGACCAAGCGUUGUCCGGAAUCAUUGGGCGUAAAGAGCGUGUAGGCGGCUUGUUAAGUCUUGCGUGAAAUCUCGGGGCUCAACCCCGAGCGGUCGUGAGAAACUGGCAGGCUAGAGUGCGGGAGAGGAGAGUGGAAUUCCUGGUGUAGCGGUGAAAUGCGCAGAUAUCAGGAAGAACACCCGUGGCGAAGGCGGCUCUCUGGAACGAAACUGACGCUGAGACGCGAAAGCGUGGGGAGCAAACAGG